rnacentral:rRNA from 1 species
GUGAGGAAUUUUCCGCAAUGGGCGAAAGCCUGACGGAGCAAUGCCGCGUGAAGGAUGAAGGCCUAUGGGUUGUAAACUUCUUUUCCUAGAGAAGAAUAUUGACGGUAUCUGAGGAAUAAGCAUCGGCUAACUCUGUGCCAGCAGCCGCGGUAAGACAGAGGAUGCAAGCGUUAUCCGGAAUGAUUGGGCGUAAAGCGUCUGUAGGUGGCUUCAAAAGUCUCCUGUCAAAGAUCAGGGCUUAACCCUGGGCCGGCAGGAGAAACUCUGAGGCUAGAGUUUGGUAGGGGCAGAGGGAAUUCCCGGUGGAGCGGUGAAAUGCGUAGAGAUCGGGAGGAACACCAAAGGCGAAAGCACUCUGCUGGGCCACAACUGACACUGAGAGACGAAAGCGAGGGGAGCAAAAGGGAUUAGAUACCCGUGUAGUCC